AGGGAGCAUGCGCAUAUCAAGGCCGGGCUGCCAUUUUGAUGGCAGUGAUCAACACCGCAUAGUUUCUAUUUCAUGAGUACAUAUUCGAGCUGGCUUUAACCCAGCACGACACCUACUAAGGUAUCGUGUUUAUUAAAGAUAAGUAUAUAACUCGGGCAUCAUAAAUAAUCCGAACAACAAUAAAACAGAUGGACGGAGAGGACGACGACGUUGUAUCCGCCAGCCGCUCCGAUGAUGGCGGUGGUACACCUGUACAAGACGAACACCCAGCAUCAGAAGACGAGCAGGCGAUGCCCACAAAACAUAAUUCAGAGGACGACGGCAGUGAGGGUGAGGACGGCCCCCGUCCCAUGGAGACCAGCGGCCCGGCCAGUGGCUCCGACAACGAGGGCCCGGCAGGGGGCCACAGCGACUCGGAGGGAGAGGCCCCUGGGCGUAACCGUGGAAACAACAGUGACUCUGAGGGAGAAGCCCCUCGGCGUAACUCUGGCAACAACAGCGACUCAGACGUAGAGGCCCCCGGGCGUAACCGUGGAAACAACAGUGACUCGGACGUAGAGGCCCCCGGGCGUAACCGUGGAAACAACAGUGACUCAGACGUAGAGGCCCCCGGGCGUAACCGUGGAAACAACAGUGACUCCGAGGUAGAGGCCCCUGGGCGUAACCGUGGAAACAACAGUGACUCCGACGUAGAGGCCCCCGGGCGUAACCGUGGAAACAACAGUGACUCCGAGGUAGAGGCCCCUGGGCGUAACCGUGGAAACAACAGUGACUCAGACGUAGAGGCCCCUGGGCGUAACCGUGGGAACAACAGUGACUCCGAGGUAGAGGCCCCUGGGCGUAACCGUGGAAACAACAGUGACUCCGAGGUAGAGGCCCCUGGGCGUAACCGUGGAAAAAACGGUGACUCCGAGGUAGAGCGGCCCAGGCCCGCGGACAGCGAUGAGGAAGACUCCGCUUUGAAGAGCCGAGGAAGUGAGGAGGACAGGAGGACCCCUCCCCGUGCCAAACACAGCCCCUCCUCUUCCCCGAGCUCCACCCCUAACGCAGGUGGAAAACCAGACGGCAGCACGCCUGCGAGGAAGAAGAUUGCCGCCCUGCACUCGGAUGACGAUGAAGAGGAGGAGGCGGGGGCUGUCGGGACGCAGGGAGCAGAGGCCGACGGGGCGAAGUGGAAGGCAGUGAUGAUGUCGGACAGCGAGGAUGAGGCGGGGGAGGAACGGAAGGCUGACAACGAAGAGGAGAAGGCGAAACGGCCAGAAGAUAGCCAUGAUGAAGACGCUGGACCAGUGAAGAGGAAGAAGGCCGUCCUCUCAGACAGCGAGGAUGACGAUACCCCUACGCCAGUGAAGCGCAGCAGAGCCGUGUCCGACGAGGAGAACUCGGACUCCGAGGGUCCGGACCGCAAAAUGGCAGCCAAGCUGAGGGAGCUGGGGUCCGACAGCGAGGACGAGGACGGUCCUGCCAAGACCAAGGACGAGAAGACGCUGUUCGGCAGUGACAGCGAGUCGGGAGAGGACCAGGAGGAGAAGAUGAUUGCGGACAUCUUUGGAGAGUCGGGAGACGAGGAGGAAGAGGAGUUUACGGGUUUCAACCAGGAGGAACUGGAGGGGCAGCAGAAGGUAGAGAACCAGCCAGCUGAGGAAGACUCUGAUUCGGAUGAAGGAGUCGACCGUAGUGGCAAAGACACCAGCAUGAUGUCAGACUUCGACAUCAUGCUGGCGCGUAAGAAGGCAGCGGGCGGGAAGCGCAGGAGGAACCGAGACGGAGGAACGUUCAUCAGCGACGCCGACGACGUCGUCAGCGCCAUGAUCAUCAAGAUGAACGAGGCCGCAGAGGAGGACAGAACGCUCAACGCUCAAAAGAAGCCAGCGCUGAAGAAACUCACACUGCUGCCUGCGGUUGUCACGCAUCUCAAGAAGCAGGAUCUGAAGGAGACGUUCAUCGACAGCGGCGUGAUGACGGCCAUCAAGGAGUGGAUCGGCCCCUUGCCAGACAAGAGCCUCCCUGCCCUCCGCAUCCGAGGGGAGCUGCUCAAGAUCCUGCAUGAGCUUCCCAGCGUGAGCCAGGAAACUCUGAAACACAGCGGCAUCGGACGUGCGGUCAUGUUCCUCUACAAACACCCCAAGGAGUCGCGACCCAACAAAGACCUGGCUCUCAAACUCAUCAACGAGUGGUCCCGACCCAUCUUUGGUCUGACGUCCAACUACAAGGGGAUGACCCGAGAGGAGCGGCAACAGAGAGACCUGGACCAGCAGAUGCCCCAGAAGAGGGGACUAAGUUCUGGCGGUCAGACCCCCCGUCGGGACCUAGAGAAGCAACUCACUGGAGAGGAAAAGGCUCUGCGACCUGGGGAGCCAGGCUUCUGUGCCCGGGCCAGGGUACCCAUGCCCUCCAACAAGGACUACGUAGUCCGACCCAAGUGGAACAUAGAGAUGGAGUCCAGCAGGAGUGGAUUUAAGAAAGGCGUCAGUCGAUUGGAGAAGCACAAGCGUCGUUUUGCUGAGCAGAAGAAACGGGGGCGCCUGCAAGGAGCCAUCAAGAUCAGUGUGCAGGGGAACCACAUGCCCUUGUAGUACCUGCUGCUACCCAUUGGGGGCAGUAAGUACCAUCCUGUAGUACUUGCUGCUACACAUAGGGGCAGGACCCAUGAAGAAGGGAGUGUCUCGCGUGGACAAACAGACGCGGCGCUCACGGGACAUCCUGCGGCUCUCACCAAGACGGGCCACGCCGUCAAGAUCGGCGUAGAGGGGAGAAGCCUGCCGCUCUGACUUCACCCACCUCGCCCCUGCCUAUUUUAGUUUAUUUUUAAUAAUUUGCUCAGAAACCCCCCCCCCCCCCCCCCCCCCCACUGUGUGUGUGUGUGUGUGUGUGUGUGUGUGUGUGUGUGUGUGUGUGUGUGUGUGUGUGUGUGUGUGUGUGUGUGUGUGUGUGUGUGUGUGUGUGUGUGUGUGUGUGUGUGUGUGUGUGUGUGUGUGAGACACACUCAGUACCCAGGGAUGUUUAAUGUGACCGGCGUGUGAGUGUGCACCCUGUUCUACGGUAGAAGAAUCUUUUCAUAUUAAACAGAGUUCUGCUCAAAUCCUGUUCCCCGGGUCUGAUUUUUGCUGUGUAAACCACUCUGGUUCUAGGUUUGGGAGCUGAACCUACCCACCUCCUAAAAUAAUUGAAUAAUAUGUAAUUUCUUACCUAAACUUAAAAGAGACGCCGAGAUAAAUAUGAAUUGGUGUUUGCCAGUUCUACCCAUAUUCUGAU